CCUACGGGAGGCAGCAGUGAGGAAUAUUGGUCAAUGGACGAGAGUCUGAACCAGCCAAGUAGCGUGAAGGAUGACUGCCCUCUGGGUUGUAAGCUUCUUUUAUAUGGGAAUAAAACGUUCCACGUGUGGGAUUUUGUAUGUACCAUAUGAAUAAGGAUCGGCUAACUCCGUGCCAGCAGCCGCGGUAAUACGGAGGAUCCGAGCGUUAUCCGGAUUGAUUGGGUUUAAAGGGAGCGUAGGUGGAUGAUUAAGUCAGAUGUGAAAGUUUGCGGCUCAACCGGAAAAUUGCAGUUGAAACUGGCCGUCUUGAGUACAGUAGAGGUGGGCAGAAUUCGAGGUGUAGCGGUGAAAUGCGUAGAGAUGACGAAGAAUACCGAUUGCGAAGGCAGUCCACUGGACUGCAACUGACACUGAGGUUCGAAAGUGUGGGUAUCAAACAGGAUUAGAUACCCUGGUAGUC
rnacentral:rRNA from 1 species